rnacentral:lncRNA from 1 species
GCAGACUGAGGAUUGUAGCUUGGGGAUGUAGGACUAUAGGUUGGUGAAGUUGGGCUAUAACUUGGUGAAGUUGGACUAUAACCAGGAGAAGUGGGGCUAUAGGCUGGUGAAGUGGGGCUGUACGAUGGAGAAGUAGGGCUGUAUGACGGUGAGGUAGGGCUGUACGAAGGUGAUGUUGGGCUGUAGGAAGGAGAGGUUGGGCUGUACGAUGGUGAGGUGGGGCUGUAUGCAGGUGAGGUGGGGCUAUAUGCAGGUGAGGUGGGGCUAUAUGCCGGUGAGGUGGGGCUAUAGCUUGGUGAAGUUGGACUGUAACUGGGAGAAGUGGGGCUGUAACUUGGAGAGGUCGGGCUGUAGCUUGGGGAUGUUGGGCUGUAACUUGGGGAGGUUGGGCUAUAGCUUGGUGAAGUAGGUGAGUACGAUGGACUGGUAGGAGAAUAGGCAGGACUGGUUGGACUAUAACCAGGAGAACUUGGACUAUAAGUUGGUGAGGUAGGGCUAUAUCCAGGCGAGGUGGGACUGUAUCCAGGCGAAGUUGGGCUGUAUCCAGGUGACGUGGGACUGUAUCCAGGAGAUGACGGACUGUAGCCUGGUGAUGAUGGGCUGUAUCCGGGUGAUGAAGUAGGAGAGAAGGCCAUUCCACCAACAUAAGGAGAAAACUGGGCAUCCGUGACCGGGGACAGACGGAGAUU